GUGCGUCAGAGCAAUGUACCUUUAUCGACACAUCUCAACAGUCUUGGAGCUCAAGCUCUGAAAUGAACGAAUAAAAAGACACGAGGAAAUUGAAGACACCAUUUUUAAAUGCUAAAACUAGCCUACUAUGCGAGUCUGUUGCAGAAAAAAGACACCGUUUUUAAAAUGCCAAGGACUAGCCUGCUCUGCGAGUCUGUUGCAGAAAGAAGCACAUACCUUCAGCCAACUCGUGAAUGAUCCCUCUCUCCCUCAAAAAAGAUGUUCCCCCAGCUGAUCCUCAACUUGUAACCUCAGAAGAGUCCUCAAAUUGUAAACAUUUGGACAACAUUGAGAACCCGGGUUAAGCUCCAACCGUCCCAGCAGCAGAGAGCGACAGAUGGUCUGAUUGCACAACGAGAGAUCUGUGUCCGCAGAUAAGUUGUGCAAAGGUAUGUGUUCUGGGCUCGAUCCAAUUUUUUUGCCAUUUAUUUACACUUUAAUCUCCACCUCCAUCAUUUCCUUCUGUUCCGUCAUUACGAUCAGCUUCGAUCAGUGUCAUUUCCAUUUUUAAAGUGACAUAUCAAAUGUCAUCCACUUUUAGGCUCAGGAUAUAAAUUGAGGUAUUACAUACAUCAAUGGUUACUACAUUCGAAUGACAGUGAAAAAUGGGCCUUCCAAUGUCCACUCAAAAUCAAAAGGAUAAAUCAAUUACAAUACACAUACCUACCGUACAUUCUUCCUGUGUAAUGCAAAAUAUAUUGACUAUGUGAUAUCCGUAGGUUGAUCAAACUAAUCAAACUGAUCAACCUACUCUUUGACUGUCCUUUUAACCUGAAAAUAUGAUUAACAUAGUCCAAGGCUAAAGUCAGAAAGAGGAUAGAGGAAUGUUUGGCGUGACAACUUCCACAGUGGUGUGAAGUACUUAAGUAAAAAUGCUUUAAUGUACUACUUAAGUAGUUUUUGGGGUAUUUGUACUUUACCUUACUAUUUCUAUUUUUGACUACUUUUACUUCACUACAUCCUUAAAGAAUGUACUUUUUACUCCAUACAUUUUCCUUGACACCCUGAAGUACUCGUUACAUUUUGAAUUUCCCUUAACAGGGAAAUUGUCCAAUUCGCUCAUUUAUCAAGAGAACAUCCUUGGUCAACCAUACUACCUCUAAUCUGGAGGACUCACUAAACAUAAAUGUUUUUUUUGUAAAUGAUGUCUGAGUGUUGGAGUGUGCCGCUGUCUAUCCGUAAUAUUUUUAAAUUGUGCUGUCAUCUGGUUUGCUUAAUAUAAGGUAUUUGAAAUGAUUUAUACUUUUACUUUAGAUUAUUAAGUAUAUUUGAGCAACUAUAUUUACUUUUGAUACUUAAGUAUAUUUAAAACCAAAUACAUUUGGAGUUUUAUUCAAGUAGUACUUACACUUGAGUCAUUUUCUAUUAAGGUAUCUUUUUACUCAAGUAGGAAAAUUGGGGACUUUUUCCACCACUGUAACUUCCCCAUUUUAGGUAAGCAGAAUACCACAGUAUUUGGUCAUUGGAUUUCAAGCACAGGCUGCGUCACCUCCUCACAACAUAUUUUCUCAAUUCAUUCACUUUCCCUCUACUCAUUUUACCGAUGUUGUAAUGGUCUUGUUCACAGACGUUGACACAAAGAUGUGUCACUUGACAGCAUAUUCACUGCAAUAUCAUGAAUGCCUUGAAGAGAUUGGCACGAUUGCACUAGGCCUUCUUCCUUUCUCUGUGUGAUUUUAAUAACAUUCAAUUUAGUUGUAUAUAACACACACAAUGAUAGACUCAGAGGGAACACAUGAUGAUACCCUGACUAACUUAAUUGACCAAAAGUAUUGAUGAUUACACAUGGAUAAACACACUGAUUUAUAUGACUAUGACUUGACCUAUGAAUAAUGUUGGAACAUACAGUAUUUACCUGUCUGGCACCAUAGAUCAGACAGGAGGCAGUCUUUUGGAUGCUGAAGCAACGCUGGAGAAAUAUCCCUCUGUACACUCUUCCCACACUGUCACUUAGCGAUGUUCCUGUAUGUAAGAAAUACUCAUUAUUACAAGGAAUGAUACAGAACUGUAUAUACAAGCAUGGCAUAUUUGCCUGGAUAUUGGGUAUUAUGAUUUUUUUCUUGUUUUGUAAAGGGAGCACAGUCAACCUUUUGUAAUAACUGCACCUCCUCCACCACAGGUCAGUUCACUCCUGACUUUCUAUUUACAGAAUACAAUUCUAUCUCCACCUGCUGGUUGUAUCCAUCUACAUGUAAGACUGUUAGCUUCUGUCCCUGAACAAAUUAGAUCCCCACUUGUACACUUUAGAAUGAUGGAGGAUGACUGAAGGUCUUUGCGAAAUUAUACAUUCAGAUAAUCUUUUGCAGAAUGAUUGCAUGCUGUCAAGACACCUAAUUUAUGGGUUUACCUGUUGCAUAAUCAAUUGACUGAAUUUGGAUUUUGUCCAUCACUCAUCCUCGAGAUAUUAAUUGAGAAACUCCCAAGAAAUAUUUUGCAAAGUUCUCAAGAAUAUAAAGAAACGAUCAUAAGAACUGGCAACUCACAGUUGAGUGAGACGAUGAGAAGCUGUGAGGCAGAGAGCAAAGAGAGUGAGGUCACACCAUUACAUUUGUAUAGACAGAGGUCAGGGUCAAAGGUAACAUGUAAAUGUAUUUGGCUAAGGUGUAUGUAAACUUCUGACUUCAACUGUAUUUAUUUACCAUCCCCCCAGGAGUUAUUUCCCAUUAGAGAGUUGUAUGCAAUAGUUAAGCAUUGUGUCAUUCAUAAAGUGAACGUCUGCGUUUCUCAAAUCUAACGUGCCUGGUUUUAUCACAUUGUCCAUUGUAGUAACUGCCCAUUAACUGCCCAUGCCCAGCCUGCCUCACACCCCCCUCCACAAUGCUUGAACCGUCUGUGUAUAAGAUAAACUCAGGGUUUUCCAACGGAUGACUAUAAACCCAUCAGAGAGCUGAUCCAAAACAACUCACAACAGUCGUGUUCAAGUAAUGUGGUAUCUAUAGGAUACAUCAGAGUAGCUGGAUUACAUGGUCUCUUUUCAACUAUACCCAUGUCCCAUAGAUCUUUAAUCACUACUUUAGUAGUGUCCAUAGCUUCCUUGAUAAUGGGAUAUUGUUUUGUGCAAGGUGGGGCAACACCUGUCAAUCACACUGGUUCCGUAUCCAAAGUUCCACACUCAUUUUUCUUUGUAGUCCAAAUAGGAUGGUUCUGAACUGUAGAGGCCUGCAGUUGUCUAAUUUGCCAAUCCACACCCCUGCAUCAAUCUUCAUUGGACCAAUAGAAAUAGAUAAUGGUUAGGUUUGUUUCAUAACCCCCCCCCCCCACACUCCUGUUGCUCUCACUCUCAUCUGCUUGCCCGUGUACUAAGGACAUAUAAAUUAUGUUUUGCAUAAGAUAUGGGCAAUACAUUGACUUCAGCACCCGUAUCUACUAGAAAAUCUACUGCAAAGUUGUUAAACAUCAUGUUCACAUAUAUUCCAUCAGAUUUCAUAUGUACACCAGAUAAAAUGGGACGUAAGAGGGGAUCUAUUAGUUUCCCUCAACAGCAUCCAGCAAGCUGCUGCUGAGCCAGAGAGAGCUUCAUAAAUUUCUGCAUCUGCAUUGUGUCAUUGGGGCUGUUGUCUUGACUCCAUUUUCCCUUAGACUGACCCUGCUUCUCCUGGCCGUUCCUCAUAAGAACACGUUUUCUUUUCCGACAUUCUCGUUGCCAGUGACCAGAAAUUCUGACAAUAAUGACAUACACCAGGUUUCUCUUCUACUGAAUGAAUAAUGUUGUUGGUUUCACUCGGAACCUGCAUACAGUUGCAAGAAAAAGUAUGUGAACCCUUUGCAAUUACCUGGAUGUCUGCAUAAAUUGGUCAACAAAUGAUCAGUGAUCUGAUCUUCCUCUAAGUCACAACAUUAGACAAACACAGUGUGCUUAAACUAAUAAAACACAAAUUAUUGUAUUUUUCUUGUCUAUAUUGAAUUCAUAAUUUAAACAUUCAUAGUGUAGGUUGGAAAAAGUAUGUGAACCCCGAGAGUAAUGACCAAAAGCUAAUUGGAGUCAUCCAAUCAAUGAGACGAGAUUGGAGAUGUUGGUUAGAGCUGCCCUGCUACAAUAUAAAACACUCACAAAAUGUGAGUUUGCUAUUCACGUGAAGCAUUGUCUGAUGUGAACCAUGCCUCGAACAAAAGAGAUCUCAGGAGACCUAAGAUUAAAAAUUGUUGAUUUACAUAAAGCUGGAAAGGGUUAAAAAAGAAUCGCUAAAAGCCUUGAUGUUCAUCAGUCCACGGUAAGACACAUU